rnacentral:lncRNA from 1 species
UAUAAUGGUUAUCUUGCCUGUUGUUCAGUUGUUUUUAGUUCUUAACGUAACAAAAUGAACUGUGAGUGUUUUUGUAACCUCCCCUCAUGCAAUGUUCUGAACCUGUGACGUAUAUUGACACAAAGAUAACAGCGUAACCCUAGGGAUGCUCUUACGCAUCAUUUCACUUCUGUUGCCAUUUGUUGAUGCCGAGCUGUUUCGGUUCCACUGCAGUUCCUGGUCCCGACGACUGUGGGAUGCCCUUCUGUUGGACCUCGAUGGACGAGCUGCAGAUGGGCCAGGCUUCCCGUGGAAGAGUGUUGCCCAGAAGAGAAGCCUCGGAGAGCAGUGGCCGAUUCUCGUGCCAGUUCUGUCCGUACGUCUCAAACAAUGCUGCCAAUCUCCAGAGGCACGUCCGAGUGCACACUGGAGAGAAGCCGUUCAAGUGCAGGCACUGCCCGGCUGCAUUCUCACAGAGUGGGAAUUACAAGCGCCACCUGCGCAACCACGGCACCGAAGAACAAUUCAAGUGCCGUCCGCGGCCAACGGUACCUUCUCGGAGCGCUGCCUUGGUGCGCGCCAUGUCCACUUCAGAAGGACACAGAUGAAGAAAACUUGAGCCCAUACUUGUGUUCCAGAAAUUACUUCUUGAGAACUUGCUCCUUGACCCACAUAUUUCACAGAGCUCACAAAUGCAACCACUGCUCGUGUGUUACCACCCACAAGAGCCCUCUGUUACACUGCAUGGCUAUGCACAAAGACUUGAAACUUGUGCUGUUACCAGAGCCAAGCACAGAAAUGAAGUCAGCAGGUACUAAUUGCGACGCGUAACAGAGCGUACCACAAGGGACAGUGAAAGUGUGGUUUGCGCUGUCAACUUUUCUGUGAAGAAGCACCAGUUUGCCCUGUUAACAAUGCUACUAUAUACUAGUCAGGCAGAGAAUACCUUGAAUAUUUUUUUUUUCUCGAAAAAAAAAAAAUGCCAGAGAACAUGAAAAGCUCACUACGUUCUAUUUCAAAUAAAAAGUGGCAUCUUGUCAUUGUUCUCCA